rnacentral:rRNA from 1 species
AACUAUAACGGUCCUAAGGUAGCGAAAUUCCUUGUCAGGUAAGUUCUGACCCGCAUGAAAGGCGUAAUGAUUUGGGCACUGUCUCAACAGCCCGCCCGGCGAAAUUGUAGUACCGGUGAAGAUGCCGGUUACCCGCGACAAGACGGAAAGACCCCAUGGAGCUUUACUGUAGCCUAAUAUUGGGUUUCGAUGUUGCAUGCACAGGAUAGAUGGGACACUGGGAAACAAUCGCUUUGGCGGUUGCGGAGUGGCCGUUGGGAUACCAUCCUUGCGAUAUUGGAAUUCUAACCUGCGGCUCUGAAUCGAGUCGGGGGACAUUGUUAGGUGGGCAGUUUGACUGGGGCGGUCGCCUCCUAAAAAGUAACGGAGGCGUUCAAAGGUUCGCUCAGCUUGAACGGAAAUCAAGCAAAAGAGUGCAAACGCAGAAGCGAGCCUAACUGCGAGACUGACGGGUCGAGCAGUAACGAAAGUUGGAGUUAGUGAUCCGGUGGUAUGUGAGUGGAAAUGCCAUCGCUCAACGGAUAAAAGUUACCCUGGGGAUAACAGGCUGAUCUCCCCCAAGAGUCCACAUCGACGGGGAGGUUUGGCACCUCGAUGUCGGCUCAUCGCAUCCUGGGGCUGUAUUCGGUCCCAAGGGUUUGGCUGUUCGCCAAUUAAAGCGGUACGCGAGCUGGGUUCAGAACGUCGUGAGACAGUUCGGUCCCUAUCUGUCGUGGGCGCAGGAUAUUUGAUGGGAGCUGUCCCUAGUACGAGAGGACCGGGACGGACGUACCUCUGGCGCACCAGUUGUUCCGCCAGGAGCAUAGCUGGGCAACUACGUACGGAUCGGAUAAACGCUGAAAGCAUCUAAGCGUGAAGCCGACCCAAAGAUAAGAUAUCCCAUUGUUUCAAACAAGUAAGACCCCUUGAAGACUACAAGGUUGAUAGGCACGAUGUGUAAGUGGAGCGAUCCAUUCAGCAAGCGUGUACUAAUAGGUCGAGGGCUUGACCAC